rnacentral:rRNA from 1 species
CAAUAGCGUAUAUUUAAGUUGCUGCAGUUAAAAAGCUCGUAGUUGGAUUUCGGGUGGGAAUGGCCGGUCCGCCGUUUCGGUGUGCACUUGCUACGCCCACCUUGCUGCCGGGGACGUGCUCUUGAGUUCACGCACGGGACACGGAGUCGGCGAGGUUACUUUGAGUAAAUUAGAGUGUUCAAAGCAGGCCUACGCUCUGAAUACAUUAGCAUGGAAUAACACGAUAGGACUCUGGCCUAUCUUGUUGGUCUGUAGGACCGGAGUAAUGAUUAAGAGGGACAGUCGGGGGCAUUCGUAUUUCAUUGUCAGAGGUGAAAUUCUUGGAUUUAUGAAAGACGAACUACUGCGAAAGCAUUUGCCAAGGAUGUUUUCAUUAA